rnacentral:RNase_P_RNA from 1 species
GCGGAUGGCUGGACGGCCGCGGGCCUUUCGGCUCGAGGAAAGUCCGGACUCCAUGAGGCAAUGGUGCCGGGUAAUGCCCGGCCGGGGCAACCCGAGGGAAAGCGCCACAGAAAACAAACCGCCCGCGCCUUUUGGCUGCGGGUCAGGGUGAAACGGUGGGGUAAGAGCCCACCGCGGGACGGGCAACCGGACCGGCAUGGCAAGCCCCACCAGGAGCAAUGCCGAAUAGGGGCCUCGUGCAGGUAUGAUCGCUUUAGCGAUAUCACUGCGGGGAGAUCUCAGCCCAGAGGCCCGGGUUGGCAGCUUGAAUCCGCCGGUAACGGCAGGGUCAGAGGAAUGGUCGUCGAAGGGGGCAACCCCGGAACAAAAUCCGGCUUACAGGCCGUCCGCGCAA